AGAGUUUGAUCCUGGCUCAGAUUGAACGCUGGCGGCAUGCCUUACACAUGCAAGUCGAACGGUAACAGCACUUCGGUGGCUGACGAGUGGCGAACGGGUGAGUAAUACAUCGGAACGUGCCCGAGAGUGGGGGAUAACGCAGCGAAAGCUGUGCUAAUACCGCAUACGAUCUACGGAUGAAAGCAGGGGACCGCAAGGCCUUGCGCUCAUGGAGCGGCCGAUGGCAGAUUAGGUAGUUGGUGGGAUAAAAGCUUACCAAGCCGACGAUCUGUAGCUGGUCUGAGAGGACGACCAGCCACACUGGGACUGAGACACGGCCCAGACUCCUACGGGAGGCAGCAGUGGGGAAUUUUGGACAAUGGGCGAAAGCCUGAUCCAGCCAUGCCGCGUGCAGGAUGAAGGCCUUCGGGUUGUAAACUGCUUUUGUACGGAACGAAAAGGUCUUCUCUAAUAAAGAAGGCUCAUGACGGUACCGUAAGAAUAAGCACCGGCUAACUACGUGCCAGCAGCCGCGGUAAUACGUAGGGUGCAAGCGUUAAUCGGAAUUACUGG
rnacentral:rRNA from 1 species